AUAAUUCCUCUUUUCUUCUGCAAAUCCAUAUGUGAUAAGACUUGGAAUUCAACUCAAGUUGAAAACUUAAGGGAGAAAGGCUGGUAACUUUUUUUUUUCUUUUUCUUUUUAUUCAAUCAUAAAUUCUUGGUUCAAAUAUGAUAUUCUUCACAUUUUUCUCUUUAGAUUUAUUUAUUUUAAUAGGGAAACGAUGUUCGACAGUGUUAUGAAUACAUGUUGUCACCAAAAAUUCAAGCCUCGGUCAUCUGUCUUCACUUUCUCUUGCACGUUCAAUCAUAAAUUAGAAGAAGCUAGCAUUUUUUUUAGUUUUU
rnacentral:lncRNA from 1 species